rnacentral:rRNA from 1 species
CCUACGGGGGGCAGCAGUGAGGAAUAUUGGUCAAUGGGCGGAAGCCUGAACCAGCCAAGUCGCGUGAGGGAUUAAGGCCCUGCGGGUCGUAAACCUCUUUUGCCGGGGAGCAGAGGUCCGGACGUGUCCGGGCCGGGAGAGUACCCGGAGAAAAAGCAUCGGCUAACUCCGUGCCAGCAGCCGCGGUAAUACGGAGGAUGCGAGCGUUAUCCGGAUUUAUUGGGUUUAAAGGGUGCGUAGGCGGAGUGUCAAGUCAGCGGUAAAAUUUCGGGGCUCAACCCCGUCGUGCCGUUGAAACUGACACCCUUGAGUGAGUGAGAAGUAAGCGGAAUGCGUGGUGUAGCGGUGAAAUGCAUAGAUAUCACGCAGAACGCCGAUUGCGAAGGCAGCUUACCGGCGCUCAACUGACGCUGAGGCACGAAAGUGCGGGUAUCGAACAGGAUUAGAUACCCUAGUAGUC